rnacentral:rRNA from 1 species
UCAUUAUCGAGCGAAUCCAAAACGAACGAAAAAGUCUCCCAACGUGCAUACCUUCCAUUUGCAUGUUGUUGUGAGCCACAUGGAAACUCGUACACACGUGGUGGCAGCCGUCUGCUGUGCUUUUUUUAGGCAGACAAUGGCUUACGAGUGGCCGUGUGCUUGUUGAACAACGGUGACCAAUUUGGCGUCUACGCCGUAUCUAGCUUCUGCCUGGACCGUCAGUUGCGAUGAAAGAUGCGGAGAAAGUUCCUUUGUUUUGGCUGCUAAUCAUCAUUGAUGAGCAGCAGCUUAAGGCAGAGUUGAGCAGACUUAAUGAGCCACGCUAGGUGGCCGCCAAAACCCAAAACACAACCGGUCUAUUUGACAUUGUUAUUUCAUUGUAUGUGUUGAAAAUGUACAAAUCUUGGCGGUGGAUCACUCGGUUCGUGGAUCGAUGAAGAACGCAGCCAGCUGCGAUAAAUAGUGCGAAUUGCAGACACAUUGAGCACUAAGAAUUCGAACGCACAUUGCGCUAUCGGGUUCAUUCCCGAUGGCACGUCUGGCUGAGGGUCGAAUUACGGUGAACUGUCUUCACGGUCUUUCUGGACUGUGAAGCAUUCGGCAAGCAAUUGCUGUUGUGUUGUUGGUGAUUCUAUCAUGGACAAUAUGACGCGCGGUUCCUUGCUUAGUGAUGAUAAAAAGAAGACGUCAACACCGAAUCCACUAUACUACUAAUACUAGUGUAUAGGUGAGGUGCUUUUGGUGGUCACAAAAGUGACAAGUAUGCCAUUUCAUAGGGGCAACAACCAGCAUACGUGAUAAGUUGGCUGGUUGAUGAAACGGCAACGGAAUGACGGACGUCUAUGUGAUCAAAAAUGAUACUAUUUGACCUCAGCUCAGUCGUGAUUACCCGCUGAAUUUAAGCAUAUAAUUAAGCGGAGGAAAAGAAACUAAA